rnacentral:rRNA from 1 species
AGUAACACGUGAGGAACCUGCCCCGAAGACCGGGAUAACCCUCCGAAAGGAGAGCUAAUACCGGAUGCCCUCAUUGAAUCGCAUGAUUCGAUGAGGAAAUGGAUUCCGCUUCGGGAGGGCCUCGCGGCCUAUCAGCUUGUUGGUGGGGUAAUGGCCCACCAAGGCUACGACGGGUAGCUGGUCUGAGAGGACGAUCAGCCACACUGGGACUGAGACACGGCCCAG